CUUGCCUAUGCUGCUCUGUACCAUCACUCAUUCAUAUAUCCUUAUGUACAUAUUCUUUAUCCCCUUACACUGUGUAUAAGACAGUAGUUUCGGAAUUGUUAGAUUACUUGUUGGUUAUUACUGCAUUGUCGGAACUAGAAGCACAAGCAUUUCGCUACACUCGCAUUAACAUCUGCUAACCAUGUGUAUGUGACAAAUAAAAUUUGAUUUGAUUUGAAAAGGGUGGCCUGGUCCAGCUCUGGGAAACACAUCACAGGAAUAAGGACAGAUGUAUUGCCUCUUGCCAGACCACCAUAGGUACAGAGAACUUGUUUACAAUCUCGCUUGGUUAAGGACUUCACGUUUUUUUCCAUUACAUACAAUAAGAGCAUUUACUACAGUCCCUGUACAGAUGUAUGACCCUGGAGUGUUGAGGCAUGUUUUGGUUUGGCUGAUCGACACCUACAGCAAAUCAAUCAAAAACACAAAAAUAGUACAGGACCAACCAAAACAACAUUCACCUCCUUCACUAUUACCCUCCUCACUAGGCCCUGUAGAGCUGAAGGUGUCGAUACAGUACUCCUCACUAGGCCCUGUAGAGCUGAAGGUGUCGAUACAGUACUCCUCGCUAGGCCCUGUAAGAGCUGAAGGUGUCGAUACAGUACUCCUCGCUAGGCCCUGUAGAGCUGAAGGUGUCGAUACAGUACUCCUCGCUAGGCCCUGUAGAGCUGAGGGUGUCGAUACAGUACUCCUCGCUAGGCCCUGUAGAGCUGAAGGUGUCGAUACAGUACUCCUCGCUAGGCCCUGUAGAGCUGAAGGUGUCGAUACAGUACUCCUCGCUAGGCCCUGUAGAGCUGAAGGUGUCGAUACAGUACUCCUCGCUAGGCCCUGUAGAGCUGAAGGUGUCGAUACAGUACUCCUCGCUAGGCCCUGUAGAGCUGAGGGUGUCGAAACUGUGAGGUUCUGUGUUAUGCACUAUAGCCCCUUACCAUAUCAUAUGUGAUUGAAUAUUAUCUGCUGUUGGCUUGUGUGGAUGUAUGUGUUAUGCAACAUGGCUGACUUG
ensembl:lncRNA